GAUGAACGCUGGCGGCGUGCCUAAUACAUGCAAGUCGAGCGAACGGACGAGAAGCUUGCUUUUCUGAUGUUAGCGGCGGACGGGUGAGUAACACGUGGAUAACCUACUUAUAAGACUGGGAUAACUUCGGGAAACCGGAGCUAAUACCGGAUAAUAUUUUGAACCGCAUGGUUCAAAAGUGAAAGACGGUCUUGCUUUCACUUAUAGAUGGAUCCGCGCUGCAUUAGCUAGUUGGUAAGGUAACGGCUUCACAAGGCAACGAUGCAUAGCCGACCUGAGAGGGUGAUCGGCCACACUGGAACUGAGACAGGGUCCAGACUGCUACGGGAGGCAGCAGUAGGCAAUCUUCCGCAAUGGGCGAAAGCCUGACGGAGCAACGCCGCGUGAGUAGUGAAGGUCUUCGGAUCGUAAAACUCUGUUAUUGGGGAGGAACAUAUGUGUAAGUAACUGUGCACAUCUUGACGGUACCUAAUCAGAGAGCCACGGCUAACUACGUG
rnacentral:rRNA from 1 species